rnacentral:rRNA from 1 species
CACUCCUACGGGAGGCAGCAGUGGGGAAUUUUGGACAAUGGGCGAAAGCCUGAUCCAGCAAUGCCGCGUGUGUGAAGAAGGCCUUCGGGUUGUAAAGCACUUUUGUCCGGAAAGAAAUCCUUGGCUCUAAUACAGUCGGGGGAUGACGGUACCGGAAGAAUAAGCACCGGCUAACUACGUGCCAGCAGCCGCGGUAAUACGUAGGGUGCGAGCGUUAAUCGGAAUUACUGGGCGUAAAGCGUGCGCAGGCGGUUUGCUAAGACCGAUGUGAAAUCCCCGGGCUCAACCUGGGAACUGCAUUGGUGACGGGCAGGCUAGAGUAUGGCAGAGGGGGGUAGAAUUCCACGUGUAGCAGUGAAAUGCGUAGAGAUGUGGAGGAAUACCGAUGGCGAAGGCAGCCCCCUGGGCCAAUACUGACGCUCAUGCACGAAAGCGUGGGGAGCAAACAGGAUUAGAAACCCGAGUAGUCCC